rnacentral:rRNA from 1 species
CGUAGGUGACAAGCGUUGUCCGGAUUUACUGGGCGUAAAGAGCGCGCAGGCGGUCGUUCAAGUCGAGUGUGAAAGCCCCCGGCUCAACUGGGGAGGGUCAUUCGAUACUGAUCGACUCGAAGGCAGGAGAGGGAAGUGGAAUUCCCGGUGUAGUGGUGAAAUGCGUAGAUAUCGGGAGGAACACCAGUGGCGAAGGCGACUUCCUGGUCUGUUCUUGACGCUGAGGCGCGAAAGCGUGGGGAGCGAACAGG